rnacentral:tRNA from 1 species
GCAGGUAUAGCUCAUUGGUGGAGCACAUGCUUAGCAUGCACGAGGUCCUGGGUUCAGCCCCCAGUCCCUCCA